UACGGGGGGAGCAAGCGUUGUUCGGAUUUACUGGGCGUAAAGGGCGCGUAGGCGGCCACCGCAAGUCGACUGUGAAAUCUCCGGGCUUAACCCGGAAAGGUCAGCCGAUACUGCGGGGCUAGAGUGCAGGAGGGGCAACUGGAAUUCUCGGUGUAGCGGUGGAAUGCGUAGAGAUCCGGAAGAACACCGGUGGCGAAGGCGGUCUGCUGGGGCAGUUGCUGACACUGAGGCGCGACAGCGUGGGGAGCAAACAGGG
rnacentral:rRNA from 1 species